GAUGAACGCUGGCGGCGUGCCUAAUACAUGCAAGUCGAGCGAACAGAUGAGGAGCUUGCUCCUCUGACGUUAGCGGCGGACGGGUGAGUAACACGUGGAUGACCUACCUAUAAGACUGGGAUAACUUCGGGAAACCGGAGCUAAUACCGGAUAAUAUAUUGAACCGCAUGGUUCAAUAGUGAAAGACGGUUUUGCUGUCACUUAUAGAUGGAUCCGCGCCGCAUUAGCUAGUUGGUAAGGUAACGGCUUACCAAGGCAACGAUGCGUAGCCGACCUGAGAGGGUGAUCGGCCACACUGGAACUGAGACACGGUCCAGACUCCUACGGGAGGCAGCAGUAGGGAAUCUUCCGCAAUGGGCGAAAGCCUGACGGAGCAACGCCGCGUGAGUGAUGAAGGUCUUCGGAUCGUAAAACUCUGUUAUUAGGGAAGAACAAAUGUGUAAGUAACUAUGCACGUCUUGACGGUACCUAAUCAGAAAGCCACGGCUACUACGUG
rnacentral:rRNA from 1 species